rnacentral:rRNA from 1 species
AACGAACGCUGGCGGCAUGCCUAACACAUGCAAGUCGAACGAGACCUUCGGGUCUAGUGGCGCACGGGUGCGUAACGCGUGGGAACCUGCCCUUAGGUUCGGAAUAACUCCCCGAAAGGGGUGCUAAUACCGGAUAAUGUCUUCGGACCAAAGAUUUAUCGCCUUUGGAUGGGCCCGCGUUGGAUUAGCUAGUUGGUAGGGUAAAAGCCUACCAAGGCGACGAUCCAUAGCUGGUCUGAGAGGAUGAUCAGCCACACUGGGACUGAGACACGGCCCAGACUCCUACGGGAGGCAGCAGUGGGGAAUAUUGCACAAUGGGCGAAAGCCUGAUCCAGCCAUGCCGCGUGAAUGAUGAAGGUCUUAGGGUUGUAAAGCUCUUUUACCCGGGAUGAUAAUGACAGUACCGGGAGAAUAAGCCCCGGCUAACUCCGUG